CACGGGGGGAGCAAGCGUUGUUCGGAUUUAUUGGGCGUAAAGAGCUCGUAGGCGGCUCCGCAAGUCAGGGGUGAAAUCCCACGGCUCAACCGUGGACACGCCCUUGAAACUAUGGAGCUUGAGGCCGGGAGAGGAAAGUGGAAUUCCUGGAGUAGCGGUGAAAUGCGUAGAUAUCAGGAGGAACACCAGUGGCGAAGGCGACUUUCUGGACCGGUUCUGACGCUGAGGAGCGAAAGCUAGGGGAGCAAACAGG
rnacentral:rRNA from 1 species